UACGGGGGGGGCAAGCGUUGUUCGGAAUUACUGGGCGUAAAGGGCUCGUAGGCGGCCAACUAAGUCGGAUGUGAAAUCCCCAGGCUUAACCUGGGAACUGCAUCCGAUACUGGAUGGCUUGAAUCCGGGAGAGGGAUGCAGAAUUCCAGGUGUAGCGGUGAAAUGCGUAGAUAUCUGGAGGAAUACCGGUGGCGAAGGCAGCAUCCUGGACCGGCAUUGACGCUGAGUGAGCGAAAGCCAGGGGAGCAAACGGG
rnacentral:rRNA from 1 species